GAUGAACGCUGGCGGCGUGCCUAAUACAUGCAAGUCGAGCGAACAGAUAAGGAGCUUGCUCCUUUGACGUUAGCGGCGGACGGGUGAGUAACACGUGGGUAACCUACCUAUAAGACUGGAAUAACUCCGGGAAACCGGGGCUAAUGCCGGAUAACAUUUAGAACCGCAUGGUUCUAAAGUGAAAGAUGGUUUUGCUAUCACUUAUAGAUGGACCCGCGCCGUAUUAGCUAGUCGGUAAGGUAACGGCUUACCAAGGCAACGAUACGUAGCCGACCUGAGAGGGUGAUCGGCCACACUGGAACUGAGACACGGUCCAGACUCCUACGGGAGGCAGCAGUAGGGAAUCUUCCGCAAUGGGCGAAAGCCUGACGGAGCAACGCCGCGUGAGUGAUGAAGGUCUUCGGAUCGUAAAACUCUGUUAUUAGGGAAGAACAAAUGUGUAAGUAACUGUGCACGUCUUGACGGUACCUAAUCAGAAAGCCACGGCUAACUACGUG
rnacentral:rRNA from 1 species